AAAGUCGUAACAAGGUUUCCGUAGGUGAACCUGCGGAAGGAUCAUUAAUAAACGUGAUUCGGCGAAACCGUUAAGGUUUUGCGAAAAACUUUUUUGUAUUUAAAACCUUCACACUUUGUAAACGAAAUAAUUUUUUUAUUAUAAAAAAUAAAAUAAAAAAAAGAUCACUUUCAACAACGGAUCUCUUGGCUCUC
rnacentral:misc_RNA from 1 species